GACGAACGCUGGCGGCGUGCCUAAUACAUGCAAGUAGAACGCACAGUUUAUACCGUAGCUUGCUACACCAUAGACUGUGAGUUGCGAACGGGUGAGUAACGCGUAGGUAACCUGCCUGGUAGCGGGGGAUAACUAUUGGAAACGAUAGCUAAUACCGCAUAAUAUUAAUUAUUGCAUGAUAAUUAAUUGAAAGGUGCAAUUGCACCACUACCAGAUGGACCUGCGUUGUAUUAGCUAGUAGGUGAGGUAACGGCUCACCUAGGCGACGAUACAUAGCCGACCUGGGAGGGUGAUCGGCCACACUGGGACUGAGACACGGCCCAGACUCCUACGGGAGGCAGCAGUAGGGAAUCUUCGGCAAUGGACGAAAGUCUGACCGAGCAACGCCGCGUGAGUGAAGAAGGUUUUCGGAUCGUAAAGCUCUGUUGUAAGAGAAGAACGGGUGUGAGAGUGGAAAGUUCACAAUGUGACGGUAUCUUACCAGAAAGAGACGGCUAACUACGUG
rnacentral:rRNA from 1 species